CAGCCGCCGCGGUAAUACGGAGGGUGCAAGCGUUAAUCGGAAUUACUGGGCGUAAAGCGCACGCAGGCGGUUUGUUAAGUCAGAUGUGAAAUCCCCGAGCUUAACUUGGGAACUGCAUUUGAAACUGGCAAGCUAGAGUCUUGUAGAGGGGGGUAGAAUUCCAGGUGUAGCGGUGAAAUGCGUAGAGAUCUGGAGGAAUACCGAUGGCGAAGGCAGCCAUCUGGCCUAAUACUGACGCUGAGGUACGAAAGCAUGGGGAGCAAACAGGAUUAGAUACCCCUGUAGUCCCUGUCUCUUAUAC
rnacentral:rRNA from 1 species